UACGGAGGGUGCGAGCGUUGUCCGGAAUCACUGGGCGUAAAGGGCGCGUAGGCGGCAUGCCAAGCGUGUGGUGAAAGCCCGGGGCUCAACCCCGGGUCGGCCGUGCGGACUGGCGUGCUCGAGCACUGUAGGGGCGGGUGGAAUUCCGGGUGUAGCGGUGGAAUGCGCAGAUAUCAGGAAGAACACCCGUGGCGAAGGCGGCUCUCUGGGACGGUACUGACGCUGAGACGCGAAAGCGUGGGGAGCGAACAGG
rnacentral:rRNA from 1 species